UUUAUUUUCUUACUCUUUAUUUGUUUCCUGGAGAUGGUCAAAUUAAUACUAGCCAUAUUCUGCUCUCUCUCUUCUCUUCUUUCUAUUUUUGCCGACAACCCCAAAACAAUUUUCCUUAUUUCCCUCACCUCUCUAUCAUGCAAAGAAAAUCCAGCCAGCAACCCUAAAAAAACUCCAGCGACGUGACUUCUCUCUCUUACCAAUGAUGUUAAUCACCGACCACGAACCCAGUUGUCCCCUUCGUCUCAUUGUCAGUGUGGUUGCGGGUGCUUUUCAAAUAACUUUUCGUGCCAAAAUACAUGUCAAUGAUGUUUUUUCAUUUUUUAAGGUAACAAACCUGGUUUUUUUAAUGAUUUCAGAACGCAUUUAAGUCUUAUUAUUAGCUAUGAAUUUAGAUGUAAAUACGACGUGACUUCUCUCUCUUACCAAUGAUGUUAAUCACCGACCACGAACCCAGUUGUCCCCUUCGUCUCAGGCAUUCGCCAUCUCUCUUUCCCACACGAGCGCCGGUGCGGGAGGUUUUUUUUGGCUUAGGUUUUGGAUUGUAGUUUUUUAGGUAACAAACCUGGUUUUUUUAAUGAUUUCAGAACGCAUUUAAGUCUUAUUAUUAGCUAUGAAUUUAGAUGUAAAUAUUAAUGGUUUAUGUACCCU
rnacentral:lncRNA from 1 species